rnacentral:rRNA from 1 species
UGGGGGAUAUUGCACAAUGGGCGAAAGCCUGAUGCAGCGACGCCGCGUGGGGGAUGAAGGCUUUCGGGUUGUAAACCUCUUUCGCUAUCGAACAAGGCCCGCUUAGGGUGGGUUGAGGGUAGGUGGAGAAGAAGCGCCGGCUAACUACGUGCCAGCAGCCGCGGUAAUACGUAGGGCGCGAGCGUUGUCCGGAAUUAUUGGGCGUAAAGGGCUUGUAGGCGGCUUGUUGCGCCUGCUGUGAAAACGCGGGGCUUAACUUCGCGCGUGUAGUGGGUACGGGCAGGCUUGAGUGUGGUAGGGGUGACUGGAAUUCCAGGUGUAGCGGUGGAAUGCGCAGAUAUCUGGAGGAACACCGAUGGCGAAGGCAGGUCACUGGGCCAUUACUGACGCUGAGGAGCGAAAGCAUGGGUAGCGAACAGG